GUGCGCAUAGUUUAAAAAAAACAUUAGAUUGUGAUUCUAAAAAUAGAAGUUAAAACCUACUUGCACACC
rnacentral:tRNA from 1 species